GACGAACGCUGGCGGCGUGCUUAACACAUGCAAGUCGAACGGAAAGGCCCUGCUUGCAGGGUGCUCGAGUGGCGAACGGGUGAGUAACACGUGGGUGAUCUGCCCCUUACUUUGGGAUAAGCCUGGGAAACUGGGUCUAAUACUGGAUAGGACCAUGCUGUAGGUGGUGUGGUGGAAAGAUUAGUUUCGGUAAGGGAUGAGCUCGCGGCCUAUCAGCUUGUUGGUGGGGUAAUGGCCUACCAAGGCGUCGACGGGUAGCCGGCCUGAGAGGGUGGACGGCAGCAUUGGGACUGAGAUACGGCGCAGACUCCUACGGGAGGCAGCAGUGGGGAAUAUUGCACAAUGGGCGCAAGCCUGAUGCAGCGACGCCGCGUGGGGGAUGACGGCCUUCGGGUUGUAAACUCCUUUCAGCCAUGACGAAGCCCUUGUGGUGACGGUAGUGGUAGAAGAAGCACCGGCUAACUACGUG
rnacentral:rRNA from 1 species